rnacentral:tRNA from 3 species
GUUCAACUCCCUCCCCUACUA